UACAGAGGUCUCGAGCGUUAGGCGGAAUCACUGGGCUUAAAGCGUGUGUAGGUGGAUCGUUAAGUACCUUGUGAAAUCCCCCGGCUCAACCGGGGAACUGCUGGGUAUACUGGUGAUCUUGAGCGAUCUAGGGGCAGAUGGAACAAGUGGUGGAGCGGUGAAAUGCGUAGAUAUCACUUGGAACGCCAAAGGUGAAAACAGUCUGCUGGGGAUCUGCUGACGCUGAGACACGAAAGCCAGGGGAGCGAACGGG
rnacentral:rRNA from 1 species